ensembl:lncRNA
GAAACACAUCCUUUCAGACAAAGACGUGCUGCAGCACUGAUGACACGCAGCUAUCAGGCCGAAGCACACUGUAACAUCAGCCUGGAGAGAUAUUCUUCAGUGACCGAGUCAGUCAGCUGACCGCAGACCAGCAGCUCCUCGCUGAUUAAAUACUAAACAGACUCACAAGAGUGCAGCUUUGCAGGAAAGACCUGCAGAGCAUCAGGGAGGACGCAGCAUGUGGUCCCAGGGUUUCACUGCCUGCGGAGGCCUUUCAUCAGGCAGGUGGAGGGUCAGCGGAAGGAGGAACAGGCUUAAGCAUCACCUUCAUCAGCAUUCAGAGAGAAACCAGCAGCAGAUACCUGCAGAGCUUCAUGUGUGUUUCUCACACUGAAUCCAUCCCAGUGUGUGUGGAGAAGCAGUGAUGAUGCAGAGUGAGCACUGUUUCCUGUGUUUGAUCCCUACACGGGGAAUCUUAAUGAGGGUCUUCAUUGGUGUGCUGUCAGAACAACGAGAUGAAAAGAGACAAACAAAGAGCUGCCGCUGAGGAAAAAGCCUGCUGACCUUUACCCAAAUGACAUUUCUGCUACCUGCUGAUUAUGUUUCUGCGUGUAGGCUUUCAAUAAUGGACCCAAUCAGCUGCUGGCCUUCAGUCUGUUCAUUCCUCUGCAGCACAUGUCUGCAAAUAUUUACUGUAAACCAACAGAACCUAAGACCAAGGCAUCUGCAGGAACUUCAGGGAGUCUCACUGAGUUAUUAUGACACUCAAAUGAUGCAUCUUCCAUAAGCACUCCCACCCAGUGCAAAGCUCAUGAAAGAAUGAGAAUUUGGGAGUCUGAUGGCCUGUGAGGCUGUUUGAGAUUCUUUUUUGUCUGUGAUUCAGACAGUGUUCGUCUGAGGACAGAGGUGUGAACAGGUGGUGCUGGGGGUGUGUGCCAAGGGCCCUCAUGAUGACCCUGGUGGUGUCUGAACAGCUUCCACACAAGGCUCUGUAAAAAUGAUUGAGGUCUUUGGGGAUGUGCCAGAUGUGCUCAGGCAUCGUAGGAGGAGCUGUGAGUGUUGUUAGACCAGCUGAGGUUUCUUCCCCUCCACCUCUGUCUCUCUGUUAGCUCCAUAUAUAUGUGCAGACUCUCAGCUUUCAUUCUACAGUAUCCACAUUCAAAUUGGAUGAAAAAUAAUAAAUACUCUUGC